rnacentral:rRNA from 1 species
UACAGAGGUCCCAAGCGUUGUUCGGAUUCACUGGGCGUAAAGGGUGCGUAGGUGGUGAGGUAAGUCGGAUGUGAAAGCUCGGAGCUCAACUCCGAAACUGCAUUUGAUACUGGCGUGCUUGAGGACUGGAGAGGAGACUGGAAUUCAUGGUGUAGCAGUGAAAUGCGUAGAGAUCAUGAGGAAGACCAGUGGCGAAGGCGGGUCUCUGGACAGUUCCUGACGCUGAGGCGCGAAAGCGUGGGGAGCAAACGGG